CCUACGGGAGGCAGCAGUGGGGAAUAUUGCACAAUGGGCGCAAGCCUGAUGCAGCGACGCCGCGUGCGGGAUGACGGCCUUCGGGUUGUAAACCGCUUUUGAUCGGGAGCAAGCCUUCGGGUGAGUGUACCUUUCGAAUAAGCACCGGCUAACUACGUGCCAGCAGCCGCGGUAAUACGUAGGGUGCAAGCGUUAUCCGGAAUUAUUGGGCGUAAAGGGCUCGUAGGCGGUUCGUCGCGUCCGGUGUGAAAGUCCAUCGCUUAACGGUGGAUCUGCGCCGGGUACGGGCGGGCUGGAGUGCGGUAGGGGAGACUGGAAUUCCCGGUGUAACGGUGGAAUGUGUAGAUAUCGGGAAGAACACCAAUGGCGAAGGCAGGUCUCUGGGCCGUUACUGACGCUGAGGAGCGAAAGCGUGGGGAGCGAACAGGAUUAGAUACCC
rnacentral:rRNA from 1 species